CCUACGGGAGGCAGCAGUGGGGAAUAUUGCACAAUGGGGGAAACCCUGAUGCAGCGACGCCGCGUGAGUGAAGAAGUAUUUCGGUACGUAAAGCUCUAUCAGCAGGGAAGAAAAUGACGGUACCUGACUAAGAAGCCCCGGCUAACUACGUGCCAGCAGCCGCGGUAAUACGUAGGGGGCAAGCGUUAUCCGGAUUUACUGGGUGUAAAGGGAGCGUAGACGGCAGCGCAAGUCUGGAGUGAAAUCCCAUGGCUUAACCAUGGAACUGCUUUGGAAACUGUGCAGCGAGAGUGCAGGAGAGGUAAGCGGAAUUCCUAGUGUAGCGGUGAAAUGCGUAGAUAUUAGGAGGAACACCAGUGGCGAAGGCGGCUUACUGGACUGUAACUGACGUGGAGGCUCGAAAGCGUGGGGAGCAAACAGGAUUAGAUACCCUGGUAGUC
rnacentral:rRNA from 1 species